AGUGAACUCCACUCUGCGGCGCUGCUGCUGGCUCGGGGCCCAGCUCAGGGGGAGGCAGGAGGAGGGGUUUCAACGACGACAACGAUCAGAUAAGACACAGCGCAGGCAGAUGACUUCAGCACAUUGUGGUGGCUCAAAGACUCCUCGCGAUUCCCCCCAGACUGUUUCUCAGAGUGUGGGGUCAUACAAGGGUGAGCUCUCACUACCUCCGAAGGUUAUUCAGAAGUCACCAGCAUUCACCAGUCUUGAACUAGUGUGGGGUUAGUGCUCAAGAUGACCAGUGACUUCACAAGGCCCCUCCCUGUAGGUUUGAGGAUAAGCCCACCCCAUCCCACAACCCCCACAUACUCUGUCCCCUCAUUGUAAAUGACCUAUUAAAGAACACAACACCACGGUAAACAAGAUGAAUGGCUUUUUUUCCAACCCAUCUCACACCAAUCAAGGCUUUCUGUUUAAACCCCCUUUCUUAAGUCUAUUAGAUCAUGUUAAUUUAUUAAAGUCAAACUGAAGAAUUAAAAUGGUCAUUUGUCACUGCUGUCUUUGUGUGGGCUUAAUGGUGGCACAUGGUGUAAGGCCUGCAAUUUGUUAUCCUCUCCUUUUUGUUCUUUUUUAAGCCUUUUUUUUGGGUUAAACAUGAAAAGAAAUCAAGCUGCACUCAGUUUCUUGUGGCAUAACUGUCUGCUAAUCAUACAUUUUAUACAUUUUUAUACUUUGCUCAGUCGUUUCGGUGUUAUUGACGGUACACCCAAGUACACCAAAAAUUCUAUUUGUGUCGUCCUUGUUCCAAAUCUAUAUUAAUUUCUUUUUUUAUGCACACAAAACAAAAUAUAAUGGAUGGUCAGUGGCAAUAUGGGUAAAUGGGAAUAUAAACGGUUUGCUUACCAACAUUCUUUAAAACAUCUUCUUUCAGGUUUGACAGAAGAAAGUAAGCCAUACAGGUUUAUUCAUUUAAUUGCUGGGUAGACUAUCCCUUUAAUUUAAUUUGUUGUUAUUUUUUCUGCCUCUUUCAACCUCCAUCAUGUUUCUUUUGCCACCUUAUCUCUAAGAUAAUCAGCCACACACUCUUUCUUACACACUAACAAACACACUCACAGUCAGAGCUGUCAGUGAGCCAAACCGUAUGCAGUAAUCCCUUUGUAUUCACAAACCCAUCCAGACAAACAAUGUGUCCCAGCCUCGUCCCACCCCCAGCACACCAGACCUAGGCCACCUGCUAACUCUACAUCAUCCACACAAACACAAACCAAAGGAUGAAGACCAGCAAGUUUGUGUCAGUGUGUGAUUUACUGUAACAUAUCUCUCUGACACGUGUGCAUGUUAUGAAUGGUCUUUCUAUUAGGAAACUGGUAACCCGUGUGCAAAUACUCUCCUUCCAGUCUGUUCUUCUUCUCUCCACUCCGCUCAUACGUUCUCCAAAUCCUCCACAAAUCCCCCUCACACAAGCUGAGAUGAUAAGUGAUCCUCUUCUGUUGUCGCUCGGAGGAGACAAUGCUCAACAACUGUGUUCAACAUCAUCAAUCUCAGAGGACAUCCAUCACACAAACAAAAGAUGAAACCUCUGCUUUCUCUCGAGUGAAAACACCCACAGAGAUGCAAGUGCAGAACAGAAACUGAGGGGUGGGAGUGAUUUUAUGGAAUUUUGAUGACAGGAAUCCUUCAGCAUCCUUCAUCCUACAUCGCUCUUCAUAUGUUUUCCAGCAGGAAGUUCUAAAAUGUUGCAAUAUGCUUUACUUUUAUUGCAUAACUCUCUGCUCGUUUUCUGAAAUCUCUCACACUAACGUUAAGUUGGGUUAAGUUGGGUGCAGAAAGCCUGAUUUUGAACAAACAUGUUCCCGUGGUGACAAAAAGACAUGGUGGUCGAUGCUCUAAUCCGUUCCGAAUGGAUGUUCUUGACGUGAAUGUUACAUUAACCUGUUAAUCCUCAGACUGUUUGUGGGAGGGGGCUGCUGGGUUUACACACAAUUAACCUGAAUAGACCAUACUGCCUUAUGAUUGGACGAAAGCCUCAAAACCCUCUUACUCGAAUGAGUUCAUGUCAUUGGAAGCUUUUACCUUAAAACACUCUAAAAUGAAUGACUUUUAUAUUGCUUAACAUGGCUGUUUUUGCCAUAAAAACCUAACCUAUGUUCACAUAAACCGAUGAGUACAAGCAAAAAGAUAAUAUUAUUUUAAUCUGACGCUCAAUCUAUGAAGGUUUUGUUUCAUUUUUAGUAAGCAACUGCUUUAUUUUAAAUAAAUAAAUAAAUGUAGGUUUAGGCUUUUGAAAACACAAGAACAGGCCAUGGGUAAAGUGUGUAAAAGGGUCAGAUCCAGCCGAGAUUGUUGUAGACCACCUCAGGUUAAGCUGACAAUGUCCUGGGAAGACCAACAGGAUUAUAGCUAUGAACACCUGUUACAGAUCUUCAAACCAGCUAGUGUGACCUGAUGCUUGACAUUUAGAAACUUAACAAGGAAGAUGAAGAGCCAAUGAAUAUGCAACCUGUUCUACCUGUUCAGAUAGUUGGCUUUGCAAAACAGUUUUAUUAUUCCUAGAAUUUUUUAUUUCAUGCGUUGUGCAGUUUCUAUUGUCAGUUUGACGUUGGCUAACUUCUGUGCCUGUUAAUUGUUUUAUUGUGUUUGGCUGUCACUCAAAAAGCAAUUACAA